rnacentral:rRNA from 1 species
AGAGUUUGAUUAUGGCUCAGGAUGAACGCUAGCUACAGGCUUAACGCAUGCAAGUCGAGGGGCAGCGAGAGAAAGCUUGCUUCUUGUCGGCGACCGGCGCACGGGUGAGUAACGCGUAUCCAACCUUCCCCAUAGUAGGGAAUAGCCCGGCGAAAGUCGGAUUAAUGCCCUAUGUUGUAUUAUGAGGACAUCUGAUUAAUACCAAAGAUUUAUCGCUAUGGGGAUGGGGAUGCGUCUGAUUAGGUAGUUGGCGGGGUAACGGCCCACCAAGCCGACGAUGAUUAGGGGUCCUGAGAGGGUUAACCCCCACACUGGAACUGAGACACGGUCCAGACUCCUACGGGAGGCAGCAGUAGGGAAUAUUGGGCAAUGGAGGCAACUCUGACCCAGCCAUGCCCGCGUGAAGGAAGACGGCCCUAUGGGUUGUAAACUUCUUUUGCCGCAGAGUAAACACGGGGACGUGUCCCCGUUUGAGAGUAUGCGGCGAAUAAGUAUCGGCUAACUCCGUGCCAGCCGCCGC